rnacentral:tRNA from 1 species
AGUCCUGUAGCUCAAUGGUGGAGCAAGUUCCUUACAAGAACUGGGUUGCGGGUUCAAAUCCUGCCAGGACUACCA